GAUGAACGCUGGCGGCGUGCCUAAUACAUGCAAGUCGAGCGAACAGACGAGGAGCUUGCUCCUCUGACGUUAGCGGCGGAAGGGUGAGUAACACGUGGAUAACCUCCAUAUAAGACUGGGAUAACUUCGGGAAACCGGAGCUAAUACCGGAUAAUAUAUUGAACCGCAUGGUUCAAUAGUGAAAGACGGUUUUGCUGUCACUUAUAGAUGGAUCCGCGCCGCAUUAGCCAGUUGGUAAGGUAACGGCUUACCAAGGCAACGAUGCGUAGCCGACCUGAGAGGGGUGACGGCCACACUGGAACUGAGGCACGGUCCAGACUCCUACGGGAGGCAGCAGUAGGGAAUCUUCCGCAAUGGGCGAAAGCCUGACGGAGCAACGCCGCGUGAGUGAUGAAGGUCUUCGGAUCGGAAAACUCUGUUAUUAGGGAAGAACAAAUGUGUAAGUAACUAUGCACGUCUUGACGGUACCUAAUCAGAAAGCCACGGCUAACUACGUG
rnacentral:rRNA from 1 species